rnacentral:rRNA from 1 species
AACGUAGGGGACAAGCGUUAUCCGGAUUUACUGGGCGUAAAGCGCCCGUAGGCGGCUUGAUAAGUUGGACGUGAAAGCUCCCGGCUUAACUGGGGAGGGUCAUUCGAUACUGCUCGACUUGAAGGCAGGAGAGGGAAGUGGAAUUCCCUGUGUAGCGGUGAAAUGCGUAGAGAUGGGGGAGAACACUCGUGGCGAAGGCGGCCAGCUAGACCAGUUCUGACACUGAGGCGCGAUAGCGUGGGGAGCAAACAGG